rnacentral:rRNA from 1 species
GACGAACGCUGGCGGCGUGCCUAAUACAUGCAAGUAGAACGCUGAAGGAGGAGCUUGCUUCUCCGGAUGAGUUGCGAACGGGUGAGUAACGCGUAGGUAACCUGCCUGGUAGCGGGGGAUAACUAUUGGAAACGAUAGCUAAUACCGCAUAAGAGUAGAUGUUGCAUGACAUUUGCUUAAAAGGUGCAAUUGCAUCACUACCAGAUGGACCUGCGUUGUAUUAGCUAGUUGGUGGGGUAACGGCUUACCAAGGCGACGAUACAUAGCCGACCUGAGAGGGUGAUCGGCCACACUGGGACUGAGACACGGCCCAGACUCCUACGGGAGGCAGCAGUAGGGAAUCUUCGGCAAUGGACGGAAGUCUGACCGAGCAACGCCGCGUGAGUGAAGAAGGUUUUCGGAUCGUAAAGCUCUGUUGUAAGAGAAGAACGAGUGUGAGAGUGGAAAGUUCACACUGUGACGGUAUCUUACCAGAAAGGGACGGCUAACUACGUG